rnacentral:rRNA from 1 species
GAUGAACGCUGGCGGCGUGCCUAAUACAUGCAAGUCGAGCGAACUUACGAGUAGCUUGCUCCUCUGACGUUAGCGGCGUACGGGUGAGUAACACGUGGAUAACCUACCUAUAAGACUGGGAUAACUUCGGGAAACCGGAGCUAAUACCUGAUAAUAUUUUGAACCGCAUGGUUCAAUAAUUCAAGACGGUUUUGCUGUCCCUUAUAGAUGUAUCCGCGCCGCAUUAGCUAGUUGGUAAGGUAACGGCUUACUUUGGCAAGGAUGCGUAGCCGACCUGGGAGGGUGAGCGGCAACACUGGAACUGGGACAGGGACAAGAAUCCUAAGGGAGGGAGAAGUAGGGAAGAUUAAGAAAUGGGAGAAAGCCUGACGGAGCAACGGCGAGCGAGUGAUGAAGGUGUUCGGAUCGUAAAACGCAGUUAUUAGGGAAAAAGAAAUAAGUAAGUAACUAUGCAAGUAGUGAAGGUAACUAAACAGAAAGGCACGGCUAAAUACGUG